rnacentral:rRNA from 1 species
AUUGAACGCUGGCGGCAGGCCUAACACAUGCAAGUCGAACGAGUAGCGGACGGGUGAGUAAUGUCUGGGAAACUGCCUGAUGGAGGGGGAUAACUACUGGAAACGGUCGCUAAUACCGCAUCCCAUCGGCUGUGCCCACAUGGGAUUAGCUAGUAGGUUGGGUAAAGGCUCACCUAGGCGACGAUCCCUAGCUGGGCUGAGAGGAUGACCAGCCACACUGGAACUGAGACACGGUCCAGACUCCUACGGGAGGCAGAAGUGGGGAAUAUUGCACAAAUGACGCAAGCCUGAUACAGAAAUGCCGCGUGUAUGAAGAAGGCCUUCGGGUUGUAAAGUACUUUCAGCGGGGAGGCGUUAACCGCAGAAGAAGCACCGGCUAACUCCGUGCCAGCAGCCGCGGUAAUUC